rnacentral:rRNA from 1 species
CUACGGGUCGCAGCAGUGGGGAAUAUUGCACAAUGGGGGAAACCCUGAUGCAGCCAUGCCGCGUGUGUGAAGAAGGCCUUCGGGUUGUAAAGCACUUUCAGCAGUGAGGAAAGUUAAUAAGUUAAUACCUUAUUGAUGUGACGUUAACUGCAGAAGAAGCACCGGCUAACUCCGUGCCAGCAGCCGCGGUAAUACGGAGGGUGCGAGCGUUAAUCGGAAUUACUGGGCGUAAAGCGCAUGCAGGCGGCCUUUUAAGCCAGAUGUGAAAGCCCGGGGCUCAACCUCGGAAUCGCAUUUGGAACUGGGAGGCUCGAGUCUUGUAGAGGGGGGUAGAAUUUCAGGUGUAGCGGUGAAAUGCGUAGAGAUCUGAAGGAAUACCAGUGGCGAAGGCGGCCCCCUGGACAAAGACUGACGCUCAGAUGCGAAAGCGUGGGUAGCAAACAGGAUUAGAUACCCGCGUAGUC